rnacentral:rRNA from 1 species
CACUCCUACGGGAGGCAGCAUGGGGGAAUAUUGCACAAUUGGGCGCUAAGCCUGAUGGCAGCCAUGCCGCGUGUAUGAAGUAAGGCCUUCGGGUUGUAAAGGUACUUUCAGCAGUGAGGAAGGUGGAUAUGUUAAUAGCAUAUUCAUUUGACGUUAGCUGCAGAAGAAGCACCGGCUAACUCCGUGCCAGCAGCCGCGGUAAUACGGAGGGUGCGAGCGUUAAUCGGAAUUACUGGGCGUAAAGCGCAUGCAGGUGGUUUGUUAAGUCAGAUGUGAAAGCCCGGGGCUCAACCUCGGAAUUGCAUUUGAAACUGGCAAACUAGAGUACUGUAGAGGGGGGUAGAAUUUCAGGUGUAGCGGUGAAAUGCGUAGAGAUCUGAAGGAAUACCGGUGGCGAAGGCGGCCCCCUGGACAGAUACUGACACUCAGAUGCGAAAGCGUGGGGAGCAAACAGGAUUAGAUACCCCUGGUAG